UGUGCCACACCAGUAAUUUACGCAAAUACCUUCUCGGCAGUUAACUGCCGCCGGUUUCCUAGUUAACUGCCGAGGAAAAUGUUUCAUCCGAUGAAACAGCUACCUGCUCCCCCCUACACACUAUUUUUCAUCACCUUCAUUUCCAACCUCAUUUCAAUCCCAAAAUCCAUUUUUUCUAUAAUCAAUUUUUGAUCCAAAAUCAUUCAAGCAUCAAGCAUAGGAGGUAUCAACACACUAUUGACGUAAAAAAACAGUGAGACAUGUCUGAGGUUGCACAAAUUGAAGGGCGGGUUAGGUACUCCGCGUUUAAAAAGACGGUUAAGAUUAUGAUAACGCCGACGGACUCUCUUGACAAUUUGAAAGCACAACUUAAC
rnacentral:lncRNA from 1 species